CUCCAGGCUUUCAAGAAGGACACCUCUACCAGGCAACAGCUCCUGCAGCCAUUUUUCUAAGAAGGUGUGUCGAAUAUCCGGGUGCCUCUUCUAUGUGAGCACUCAGGAGCCCGCUCUUCCAGGUCUACCUACAGCACUUCCAUGGGAGCCUUGCCGAGAUCCAGGCAGAAGAGACUGUGCUCUCUAACGUGCUCCUGUGCUUUGCAUGUGCCUCUGUGAUGAAGCUCCCGCAUCAGCCCGGGAGGACUGGCAUCUCACGUGGAUCUGUGGUAUUAUAGUAUGGUACGUUCCUUCUCCAGGUGUGAGCUCACUGGGGACUGGGACAUGGGUCAUUUAUGCCUCAUGCCUCCUGGGGGACUGAACGAGGGAAUCAAUAA